UCAGGUUUUCAUGUAAGCCUUGUUCUGUAGUUUCAGUCUGUUCUCAACUGAUUUUAUUGUUCUAUUUUAGGAACAUUUCACAGUCCAUUCAGCCAGGGCAAUGGACUGAGAAGACUGGCUGUGACUUCGACGGUUUCCCACAACAAACCGGCGGAGUGAACUGUGGAAUCUUCAUGCUAAUGUAUGCGCUCAGCUUUUGCACUAGCACUCCGUUCAACUUCUCAGAGGGGGACAUGCCAUCUCUUAGGAAAUGGUGGUGUUUGGAGGUCAUGGAGAGGUUCUCCAUUGAAGGGUAGGACCAUUUAAACGUGGAUAGACAUUUUCACACUUAUUUUUGACGUUACAUUACUACAUGUAGUAUACAUUGGUUUUCU